AACGAACGCUGGCGGCAUGCCUAACACAUGCAAGUCGAACGAAGCCUUCGGGCAUAGUGGCGCACGGGUGCGUAACGCGUGGGAAUCUGCCCUUGGGUUCGGAAUAACAGUCAGAAAUGACUGCUAAUACCGGAUGAUGUCUUCGGACCAAAGAUUUAUCGCCCAAGGAUGAGCCCGCGUAGGAUUAGGUAUUUGGUGGGGUAAUGGCCCACCAAGCCGACGAUCCUUAGCUGGUCUGAGAGGAUGAUCAGCCACACUGGGACUGAGACACGGCCCAGACUCCUACGGGAGGCAGCAGUGGGGAAUAUUGGACAAUGGGCGAAAGCCUGAUCCAGCAAUGCCGCGUGAGGGAUGAAGGCCUUAGGGUUGUAAAGCUCUUUUACAAGGGAUGAUAAUGACAGUACCUGGAGAAUAAGCUCCGGCUAACUCCGUGCCAGCCGCCGCCGUAA
rnacentral:rRNA from 1 species